rnacentral:rRNA from 1 species
CCUACGGGGGGCUGCAGUGGGGAAUAUUGGACAAUGGGCGAAAGCCUGAUCCAGCCAUGCCGCGUGUGUGAAGAAGGCCUUCGGGUUGUAAAGCACUUUCAGUGGGGAAGAAAGCCUUGGGGCUAAUACCCUCGAGGAAGGACAUCACCCACAGAAGAAGCACCGGCUAACUCCGUGCCAGCAGCCGCGGUAAUACGGAGGGUGCGAGCGUUAAUCGGAAUUACUGGGCGUAAAGCGCGUGUAGGCGGUCUGAUAAGCCGGUUGUGAAAGCCCCGGGCUCAACCUGGGAACGGCAUCCGGAACUGUCAGGCUAGAGUGCAGGGGAGGAAGGUAGAAUUCCCGGUGUAGCGGUGAAAUGCGUAGAGAUCGGGAGGAAUACCAGUGGCGAAGGCGGCCUUCUGGACUGACACUGACGCUGAGGUGCGAAAGCGUGGGUAGCAAACAGGAUUAGAUACCCCAGUAGUC